rnacentral:rRNA from 1 species
UACGGAGGGGGACUAGCGUUGUUCGGAAUUACUGGGCGUAAAGCGCACGUAGGCGGAUUUGUAAGUCAGGGGUGAAAUCCCGGGGGCUCAACCCCGGAACUGCCUUUGAUACUGGGUAUCUAGAGUCCAGAAGAGGUGAGUGGAAUUCCGAGUGUAGAGGUGAAAUUCGUAGAUAUUCGGAGGAACACCAGUGGCGAAGGCGGCUCACUGGUCUGGUACUGACGCUGAGGUGCGAAAGCGUGGGGAGCAAACAGG